CCUGACACCCAGACAACUUCAUUGAGCUGAUGUGAUCUGGGUGUCUGUAGUGGUCUUUUAAAGGACCACUAUAGUGCCAGGAAAACAUACUCGUUUUCCUGGCACUAUAGUGCCCUGAGGGUGCCCCCACCCUCAGGGACCCCCACCUGCCCGGCUCUGGAAAGAGGUAAAACUUACCUUUUUCCACCGCUGGGCGGAGAGCUCUCCUCCUCCGAUCCUCCUCUUCUCCUCCCCGUCGGCUGUAUGCGCACGCGCGGCAAGAGCUGUGCGCGCAUUCAGCCGGUCACAUAGGAAAGCAUUCAUAAUGCUUUCCUAUGGACGCUGGCGUGCUCUCACUGUGAAAAUCACAGUGAGAAGCACGCAAGCGCCUCU